rnacentral:lncRNA from 1 species
UGUAGAAGUUCGGACGGAGUCUGAUUCUUGCAGAAGUCUAGAAGGAGGCCGCUUACUGUAGAAGCUCAGAUGGAGAUCGAUUAUCGUGGAAGCCCAGAUGGAGACCACUUAUUGUAGAAGCUCGGAUGGAGAUCGGUUGCCAUGGAAGCUCGGCUGAAGUCCGCUUGCAAUAGAAGUUUGGAUGGAAUUCGCUUACUGUAGAAGCUCGGAUGAAAUUCAGAAGGCAGUCGACCACUGUAGAAACUUGGAUGGAGUCUGGUUACUGUAGAAGUCCUAUUGCUGGAGAAGCCCGAACAUUGACGAAGUCUGAAAGAAGCUCAGAGUAAAGUCGAUCGUGACGGGAGGA